GGGCAGAUAGCUCAGCAGGUUAGAGCGCUACGCUCACAUCGUAGAGGCCGGGGGUUCGAGUCCCUCUCUGCCCACCA
rnacentral:tRNA from 1 species